rnacentral:tRNA from 1 species
GCGCUCUUAGUUCAGUUCGGUAAGAACGCGGGUCCCAAAACCCGAUGUCGUAGGUUCAAAUCUACAGAGCGUG